GCGCAGGUGGUGGAAUGGUAUACACGUACGUUCGAGGGGCGUAUGCCUCACGGCUUGGGGGUUCGAGUCCCCCCCUGCGCA
rnacentral:tRNA from 1 species